GAUGAAGAACGCAGCGAAAUGCGAUAAGUAAUGUGAAUUGCAGAAUUCAGUGAAUCAUCGAAUCUUUGAACGCACCUUGCGCCCUUUGGCUAUUCCGAAGGGCAUGCCUGUUUGAGUAUCGUGAACACCUCAACUCUCAUGGUUUGCCAUGAUGAGCUUGGACUUGGGGGUUUUGCUGGCCUUCGGUCGGCUCCUCUCAAACGGAUCAGCUUUCCAGUGUUUGGUGGCGUCACGGGUGUGAUAACUAUCUACGCCUGUGGUUUUCUGCCAGAUAACCUUCAGCGAUGGAGGUUCGCUGGGGCUCAUAAAUGUCUCUCUUCAGUGGAGACAGCUUUUUGGACGUUUGAUCUCAAAUCAGGUAGGACUACCCGCUGAACUUAAGCAUAUAAUAAGCGGAGGA
rnacentral:misc_RNA from 1 species